rnacentral:rRNA from 1 species
CAGUAGCCGCGGUAAAACGUAGGGGGCAAGCGUUAUCCGGAAUUACUGGGUGUAAAGGGAGCGUAGACGGCUAAAUAAGUCUGAAGUGAAAUGCCGGGGCUCAACCCCGGAGCUGCUUUGGGAACUGUAGAACUGGAGUGUCGGAGGGGUAAGCGGAAUUCCCAGUGUAGCGGUGAAAUGCGUAGAUAUUGGGAUGAACACCGGCGGCGAAGGCGGCUUACUGGACGACAACUGACGUUGAGGCUCGAAGGCGUGGGUAGCAAACAGGAUUAGAUACCCCUGUAGUCCCUGUCUCUUAUAC